rnacentral:lncRNA from 10 species
AGCGCGCGGCUGCGGCGCGGGAAGCAACCCAGAGCCCUCCUCCCGCCUGCUCUGUGUAGGAGACAGCCUGCGGAGCCCACUGCCGGCGCGCAGAGAGCCCAGCAGCUCUUGAGUCCAGGAAGCAAGGGUGGGAGGAGGGACGAGCCAGUGGCAAUGACCCAGACCCGGACGACCCCCAUUGCUGAGCCAGCGGAGCUGCUUGGAGGCAGAGGUUGCAGUGAGCUGAGAUUUUGCGACUACACUCCAACCUGGGCAACAGAGCGGGACUCCAUUCCAAAAAAAUAAGAAAAACAGAAAAAUAAUAAUUACAUCUGCAAAGACCUUAUUUCCAGGCUCAAGCAGAGUCUUCCUCCUGGUGUUCCAGAAGGAGUUCAAGGUCCUGCUCCAUAUGGGACAGCUAGAUUCUGAGGGCAAUGUUGAGAUCCUCAUCUCCAGAAGGUGCUGGUGCCAGAAAUAUGACAAAAGGCUGAUUGACGGGCCAGGCGCGGUGGCUCACGCCUGUAUUCCCAGCACUUUGGGAGGCCAAGGCGGGUGGAUCAUGAGGUCAAGAGUUCGAGACCAUCCUGGCCAAUAUGGUGAAACCCUGUCUCUACUAAAAAUACAAAAAAUUAGCUGGGCGUGGUGGCACGCAUCUGUAGUCCCAACUACUUGGGAGGCUGAGGCAGGAGAAUUGCUUGAACCGGGAGGAGGAGGUUGCAGUGAGCAGAGAUCGUGCCACUGCUCUCCAGCCUGGGCGGCAGACUGAGUGAGAUUCUGUCUAAAAAAAAAGAGGCCUGGUGUGGCGGCUCAGGCCUGUAAUCCUAGCACUUUGGGAGGCUGAGGCAGGUGGAUUGCCUGAGGUCAAGAGGUCAGGACCAGCCUGUCCAACAUGGUGAAACCCCAUCUCUACUAAAAAUGCAAAAAUUAGCCAGAUGUGGUGGCACAUGCUUGUAAUCCCAGCUACUUCGGAGGCUGAGGCAGGAGAAUCGCUUGAACCCAGAGUGUGGAAGUUGCAGUGAACCAAGAUCAUGCCACUUCACUCCAACCUGGGCGAAAGAGCAAAACUUCAUCUCAAAAAAAGAAAAGUAUUUAAAAAAAAAAAAA